rnacentral:lncRNA from 1 species
UUCCAGAGGGGGACUCCAGUGAUGUGAGUGAAUUUUGGGAUGUUGGCUGCUCCGAGCCCCAACAGAUGAAGGUUCCUUUGCUGGCAGCCCUGGUGCCAAGGCAAUCAUGAUUCUGGGUUUUUGCUCAGGUGCAUUCCUGCAGUGCCAUCUGGUGUCAAUUAAAGAAAGUUAACCUGGUUUUCUA